AAUUUCUGAACAUAGUAAAUUAGUUUGUAUUGCAUUGAUAUAUUUAGAUUCAACAAAUUUAACGCUUAUACCAUUCUCUAUUUUUUAUUUAUUUCGUUUUUGUUCAGAUUCAUUCCUAUAUGCCUUUAAAUUUAAUGUGAUUUGUUAUUUUUGAUUAUUUUUUUCUUCUUUUACAUGAUUUUUUUUUUCUUUUAGUUGAUAUUUGUCUUUC
rnacentral:lncRNA from 1 species